AAGUCGUAACAAGGUUUCCGUAGGUGAACCUGCGGAAGGAUCAUUACUUCAAGUGCUGUCAUCCCUUGGGAUACACAGACAUCUUGACAACACCAAUCUGUGCUCUUUCUUUUUUUCACUCCGCACAUUCAAUCCUUAAGUGUUCUUUGCACUGACUGUUUUGACUGUAGCUGCAGGUAUGGUGUAUCACAUCAUCCCUUGUGUGCUAGUCAUCUGUAGUUGGUAUCUCCUGCUUGCAUUCGUGCAUGCUGUGUGGUAUCCUCUACUUUCUCAACUCUUCAACCUUACUGUAUGCAAGUACAGUGUUGGUUGAUCUAGGAACAACUCCUAACAAUGGAUAUCUCGGCUCUC
rnacentral:misc_RNA from 1 species